ensembl:rRNA 5S_rRNA 5S ribosomal RNA
GCUUACGGCCAUACCACCUUAGGCACGCCCGAUCUCGUCUGAUCUCGGAAGCUAAGCAGGGUCGGGCCUGGUUAGUACUUGAUGGGGGUGACCGCCUGGGAAUACCAGGUGCUGUAAGCA